UACGAAGGGGGGCUAGCGUUGCUCGGAAUCAUUGGGGCGAAAAGGGCGCGUAGGUGGCCCCGUAAGCGUGCGGUGAAAGCUCGGGGCUCAACCCCGAGUCGGCCGUGCGAACUACUGGGCUGGAGCACUGUAGAGGCAGGCGGAAUUCCGGGUGUAGCGGUGGAAUGCGUAGAGAUCCGGAAGAACACCGGUGGCGAAGGCGGCCUGCUGGGCAGUUGCUGACACUGAGGCGCGACAGCGUGGGGAGCAAACAGG
rnacentral:rRNA from 1 species